GGCGGUCUUCGGUAGUGGCUGCCGGGCACCCCGGAUCUGGGGAAAGUCCGGCCGCUUCGAUCGACGGCCGUA
rfam:Mycobacterium ulcerans str. Harvey Harvey.contig.107, whole genome shotgun sequence.